rnacentral:rRNA from 1 species
GAGAAGCUUGCUUCUCUGAUGUUAGCGGCGGACGGGUGAGUAACACGUGGAUAACCUACCUAUAAGACUGGGAUAACUUCGGGAAACCGGAGCUAAUACCGGAUAAUAUUUUGAACCGCAUGGUUCAAAAGUGAAAGACGGUCUUGCUGUCACUUAUAGAUGGAUCCGCGCUGCAUUAGCUAGUUGGUAAGGUAACGGCUUACCAAGGCAACGAUGCAUAGCCGACCUGAGAGGGUGAUCGGCCACACUGGAACUGAGACACGGUCCAGACUCCUACGGGAGGCAGCAGUAGGGAAUCUUCCGCAAUGGGCGAAAGCCUGACGGAGCAACGCCGCGUGAGUGAUGAAGGUCUUCGGAUCGUAAAACUCUGUUAUUAGGGAAGAACAUAUGUGUAAGUAACUGUGCACAUCUUGACGGUACCUAAUCAGAAAGCCACGGCUAACUACGUGCCAGCAGCCGCGGUAAUACGUAGGUGGCAAGCGUUAUCCGGAAUUAUUGGGCGUAAAGCGCGCGUAGGCGGUUUUUUAAGUCUGAUGUGAAAGCCCACGGCUCAACCGUGGAGGGUCAUUGGAAACUGGAAAACUUGAGUGCAGAAGAGGAAAGUGGAAUUCCAUGUGUAGCGGUGAAAUGCGCAGAGAUAUGGAGGAACACCAGUGGCGAAGGCGACUUUCUGGUCUGUAACUGACGCUGAUGUGCGAAAGCGUGGGGAUCAAACAGGAUUAGAUACCCUGGUAGUCCACGCCGUAAACGAUGAGUGCUAAGUGUUAGGGGGUUUCCGCCCCUUAGUGCUGCAGCUAACGCAUUAAGCACUCCGCCUGGGGAGUACGACCGCAAGGUUGAAACUCAAAGGAAUUGACGGGGACCCGCACAAGCGGUGGAGCAUGUGGUUUAAUUCGAAGCAACGCGAAGAACCUUACCAAAUCUUGACAUCCUUUGACAACUCUAGAGAUAGAGCCUUCCCCUUCGGGGGACAAAGUGACAGGUGGUGCAUGGUUGUCGUCAGCUCGUGUCGUGAGAUGUUGGGUUAAGUCCCGCAACGAGCGCAACCCUUAAGCUUAGUUGCCAUCAUUAAGUUGGGCACUCUAAGUUGACUGCCGGUGACAAACCGGAGGAAGGUGGGGAUGACGUCAAAUCAUCAUGCCCCUUAUGAUUUGGGCUACACACGUGCUACAAUGGACAAUACAAAGGG